GCAAUGCCAGCUAUUUAGAACAGAAACAUCCAAGGCCGUGCUAGAACUCAGUUAUAACUACAUAUACAUUAAGGCAGGAACCGGCAGGCCUCUGACUACAGAAACUAUAGGGCUCGUGCUUCUCAGCUGCCGGGUUAUAAUCUAUGAAACUGAGCCCUGAUCCAGCCAAUCAGUUCGCUCCUUAUAACAAGUCUAACUGGCUCUGGAAAGCUGAAAAGGCUGCACUGGAGCGGCAUAGAUGAUAUAUUCCACAUAAUAAUCUGCUUAUCUAGAAUCACUCUGCCUAGAAAGGCCAGAGAAAAUCGCAGCUUCAUUAUCUGAGGAAAGAAGGACAGGUGAUCUGGCAAAAACAUUUCUGAACCUGGAGCAAGAACGAUCCUCUGGCUUGGCAGUCCCAACAGUGCAGUGUGAAAGGAACUGAGCCUCCCCAGAAAUCCAAGGGCAGCCACAGCAGCAAAACCGGAGUUUCCAACCAUGGAAAGAACCAAGUUCAUGAACCAAGGUAUCACUGAGCUCAUAAGAAUUCUGCAGUUUCAUUCUCUCUAUGAAAAAGAUCAAGUUACAAAGAAGCCUCCUCCACACUGAAGCAGAGAGCCAAAGAAAAAUGAUCUAACCACAGUCUGAAUCUGCUGGACAGUUAAUCACCUUCAAUAAGCUCCAAGCCUGGGCUGUAAUUGUUUCCACCAUCUUUUCCAACAGUUUGCAUCUUCUUUUUCAAUUUUAUUUGACAUUAAAUUCGAUGAAGUCACCCUUAUUUGAAAAUUAAAAUUCAUCAUCAUAAGAAGCUGAGGGAGGAUGCUUUUAAACAAGAAAGAUGCUAAACUCACAAUACCUAAGGAAUUCCUGUUUAUUGUUUAUUUUCUUAAUGCCACGUAGUAUUUGAAGACCAGGUUGCAAACAGAAGUGCUCCACCAAACCUGCUCUUCCUACACAAAAGUACAGUAUAAAAUGCUUUACCUGCUUGCUUGCAGAAGACAUGUUUUUGUCACAAAUAAAAAAUGUACACCAAAUUCAAAGACCUUAAUGGAAUUAAUACGAAUCUUACAUUUGCACAAGAGCAUGCUUGAUUUAGCAUUCUUUGGGAAGGGGCUGUUGGUAACUGGAAGGAAAGAAGGAGAAGAAGCACUCUCUAUAAGGUGGCUUAGAAAGGAGAGAUUGAAGCAGCCAGAACAAACUUCUAGGGUGGAUAAAAGACCAACCUUGUCACAAUAUUUCCAGAGGCCAAUCAUUAAUAGUUGCAAGAGCCACUAUAGAGCAUUAGCAUUAUUCAUAACUGUAUCAUUGGGACUCUUGCUCUCAUUUUGGCACCUUUAAGAACCUUCUACAAUUUGCAUGCUUGUUUCCAGCCAAGCAAAUUUAAUAAAGCCCAUUUUUCAUCCAUGUGACUUUGGGUUUAGGAAAAUUACAUCUAGAGGAAGCAUUCAUCUUACUGGUUGUCUUUUUCUCUACAGCUCUGUCCUCUGGCUGGAGAAGGCAGAGCCCUCCGUCACAGAAAGCAUAUCAAUGUACAUUUUUCUACAUCGUGCAACAUUGAGCUGAACACUCACUCGACAGCACAGCCACAGGUGUUUUCACUUUACAAGGCUGUGUCAUAUUUGUCUUGUGCUUUUCAUCAUACAUUUGAUUUAACAGACAAAUUUUCAAGGCUCAGUGCUGAUGGAUAUACCCUGGAGCCAACUUCAAAGCCAGAUCUUAGAUUUAUGAAAAUAAAAUAAGCAUACUGCUUCAAUUACAAAUACCUACUUUGAAUUCCAAUGUGAACUUUCAAAUGUUCAUCUUAUAAAUCUUGCCCUUUAUUUGAAAC
ensembl:lncRNA